CCUGAGCUCACACAGAUACGGAACAUUUGUACAGCACUGAAACUUCCCAUUCCCGCCACAUUCGAGGUUGGGUUCGAUUCAUCGCAAAGAUUUUCUCCCUUCAUCACGCAGUUGCAAAGCUGGGCUGGCACUUCAGGCAAACACAAAGCCACAAAACAAAAUAGUCAAAAAUUAUAAUUUCCUUCUUCAGUCGCCUCCAUCACCUUUAGCAUCCCACAAUGAAAGGUACAAUUUUUUUGGAACAUUUUUUUUUGGAAAAUGGAAUUGGUAGAACCUCAGGCAGGAGCAGAAUUGACUCAGAGUAAACCAGCAGGGAGCUCCAUCCCCACCCAGCUCCUCUUUAGCAGCUCAGCCCUGCCCGUGGUGCUGCCUGGCCCGUCCCUCUGACAUUAUUGCAGAUCCCAACUGAGAAAAAGGCCAGGAAAGGAAAUUAAGAGCAUCAAAACUGCUGUUGCUGUCUGGAGCAAAACCCUUUCUGAGAGAAAAUGGCUCUCCUAACCUCAAUUCUGUUAAGAUUCGGCCCAUCUCUGUGAGAUUUGAUUUCAAAUUGAUCUUUCAGAAUGUAUGGCCCAUAGAGAAAAAAAAAAUAGCAAUAAGGUAAAAAUCGGUUAUGGGAGAAAUAGAGCCGAAAUAACACUGCAGAAAAGGGGCUGAAAUAGCUCUUUUCAAAAGAUCCUUAUUGCCAGCAGAUGAAACAAGCAAAUAAAACACUUCUCUAGCUGGGUUAAGGGGCAUUGUAUACUUAAUGUGCUUUCUGUUAAUCAUUAAGUAUUUAAACCACUCUUAUUUCAACCUAAACAUGCCUGGCAAAAUCUGACCUCAACCCUUUAUAACCAUCACAGCAUCUGACAUUCACUGGGAUUUGAUAUUUCUGUAACCAAAAAUGAGAACAGACCAAGUGAUCCAACAUCCCUGUUCUCAGCUUUUUGGGGUUUUUUUGCUAAACAGAAUCUCAAGUUCUUGACAAUCAAAGUUAAAUGCCAGGUAAAAAGGUUAUUUUAGCAUCAGUUUCAAAGAAAACAUCGAGGUUUCAAACAAACCCUGGAGCUGUAAGGUCAAAUUCUAUAAAUCCUGGUUUAUUUUGGUGUAGGUCAAGACUUUCAUGUGAAAGCUGAGUGAUAACCUGGGUUUAUAAAUGUUAUGAUCGAGAAACAGAAACUUACCCUUAGGCCAAAAAGAAAGCAAAAUGGUUUUGGUGUUUGCUUUUUUUGUUGGUUUUUUUUAAAGCCCCCAAAUAAGGACAGCACAGCUGAACACAUUAAUUAUAAAGACAUCAUUUGUUAACAAUGUGCCACUGGGAUAUUUACAAAUCCAUUGAUCUGUGAGGCAUUGAGGGGGAAGAAAAGGUUUAAGAAGAAAUCAGGAGGAAGAAAAAGCACCAAGGAGAGCCGCAGCACUUGAAAGGAUGUGUCUGAAGGCUGAAUGGUUCCUCCUCAGGAAAAAAGCAGAAACAUCUCCCGAGUUAUCUGCAGGAGUCAGGAGUGUCGUGUUCUGCUCAGAAACACCGCCUUCAAAGCUGUGAAGCCAUUGAGCACCGCUUGGGAUGUGCAGUGAAAGCUCUUCCACAAGAGUUGCACUGGAAAAGCCUUAGCAGGAGAAAACACAUGCCUGCCUCAGGGGUUACAAGACAAAUCAAUCUAUUUUUCUCCUUUCCUCCAAGGGUAAUUGGCCUUUAAAAUUACAGAGAAAAAUAGGCCUUCGUGUCAGCACAAUGCAGGCACAUCCACAGCCAUUUUCCAUUUCUUUUUCAGUGGGAAUUCUCAGCUGAGAGGUAAACUUAUAAAGGUGGGAAAAUAAAAAGAAGAUGAAGAGGAACGAUUGCAUCAGUUCAAAUCCCCUCCAAUAACAAGCAGCGCUGUGACCAGCAUUUGAGGCUGGAAUUUACUGAAACCUGCUAUGAAUAGCUGUCAUUUUCCUAGGCAGUAUUUUUUUUAUUCUUGAUUGUGAUAAAAUUUUCUCGAAUUUUUGUGACAGCCUGUACUGCUGGCAUUCAUGGAGAUUUAUCACAGAAUUUAGUCAGACUGAGGAGUUAUAAUUAUUGCUUCAUUUCCCAUAAAAUCUCACAAAGUAAUACUGAUUUUUACCUUAUUCUUCUGAAAUUGCCUUUUUCAAGGAGCAAUCAUGGCUGUGAAUAUUCCUAGAAUCCUUCUGCUGUUCUGUACAUAUAAUCACCUGCAGACUCAUUUUCAGCCUUUGAAUACUGGUAAAUUGUAUACAGUGCAUUUAAAUUGGCUAAUAAAUUGUUUGAUAGCAGUGAAACUCAGAUGAUAGUCUUCUCACUUUUCUGAUUGCUAUUAAAUCUGCUUUGCAAUACAUUAAUCACAUUCUACUUUUAAUAAGAGAUUGUCACGUGAAAAUAUUUCCCUGUGCAUAAAGAUGAGUAAUCAGCUGAGCUACAACUGAUACAUAAAAACAAGAACAAAGUUGAAAAAAGUCAAAACAAGUUGGUGUUUUAAAUCCAGAACUGAUAUUCCCUGAAAGAGUCCCGGGAGCACUAAACCAUCGAUGUGACCUCGCUCCCUGGGAGUGUGAGUACAGGUGUAAAGCAAUUAUUAGAUUUGAUAUCUGAAUGAACUCAGGUUCCCAUUAGAGCCUGAAUGCUUCAGUGACCCUAUUAUUUGCCUUCCAGUGCUCCCAGACCUGAUCAACUUAAUUAUUCUGACUAGUGAAACAUUUAGGACAUGAAUGUGGGAUUUGUUUGAAGCCAAAUGAGACAAAUGAAAGUACUUCAGAAAACAACUCCAGGUGAAGAAUAAGACGUGUGAGAAUCGAAUGUGUCACAUCCAGCAAGGUCAGGACUAAGUAACAGUAACAAAGAAAAAGAGAGAGAGAGAUCCUUGGCAAUAAAAAUACAUUUAUUCAGAUAUUUUUUUUCCCUUGAACUUCUCAUUUGUGACCUCUCCUGCAUAGUGAAAACAUUUAGCUGAUGAAUCAGAAGGGCAAAACAAGUUCCAGAGAGUAAAUUGUCUGCUUCAAGUGCUGAAAAAAUCCAAACCUCAAAACACAGAGAUUGUGAUUCUUCUUUCAUGACUACACACACCUUUAGUAGAUGUCCAAAAGUAAAAGCAGAGCCUUUACUCAAAAACCUCCUCAUGUCAGAGAGGGCAGGUUUGCUGAUGUGAAAGCUGUGUUUCCUUGGUUUAAUUGUCCCUAUUUCCCUGCCAAGGAAAAGCCUGUGACACUGCAAAACCCACGUACUCCCAUUUCAAACAGGUCUGUCUGGUGCUGAUCCGCUGUUCUCUCCAUCAAUAAUGAAAUUUAAAAUGUCCCAUUCCCAGCUCCCCUGUGAACACCUCCACCCCUACAAGCUGUACUUGCUCUGGGGUGAGGUGGCUGGGAGGUCACAAAGCAGGAGAGGGAACACAGACAGGGACAGGUUCUGGAUGUGAAAUGCACAGGGAAUGUCAGAGUUCCCAUCCCUCAUCCCACUGAAAAUGUCCUUAACGGAGUCAGACUGACAGCCCAGGGCUCCCUGCAUCCCUCAUC